UACGUAGGGUGCAAGCGUUAAUCGGAAUUACUGGGCGUAAAGCGUGCGCAGGCGGCUUUGCAAGACAGAUGUGAAAUCCCCGGGCUCAACCUGGGAAGUGCAUUGGAAACUGGGAGACUUGAGUACGGGAGAGGGCAGUGGAAUUCCUGGUGUAGGAGUGAAAUCCGUAGAUAUCAGGAGGAACACCGGUGGCGAAGGCGGCUGCCUGGACCGAUACUGACGCUGAGACGCGAAAGCGUGGGGAGCAAACAGG
rnacentral:rRNA from 1 species